CCUACGGGGGGCAGCAGUGAGGAAUAUUGGGCAAUGGGCGCGAGCCUGAACCAGCAAAGUAGCGUGAAGGAUGACGGCCCUACGGGUGGUAAACUGCGGUUAUAAAGGAAUAAAGUGAGGCACGUGGGCCUUUUUGUAUGUACCUUAUGAAUAAGGAUCGGCUAACUCCGUGCCAGCAGCCGCGGUAAUACGGAGGAUCCGAGCGUUAUCCGGAUUUAGUGGGUUUACAGGGAGCGUAGAUGGGUUGUUAAGUCAGUUGUGAAAGUUUGCGGCUCAACCGUAAAAUUGCAAUUGAUACUGGCAGCCUUGAGUCCAGUUGAGGUAGGCGGAAUUCGUUGUGUAGCGGUGCAAUGCUUAGAUAUCACG
rnacentral:rRNA from 1 species